AGAGUUUGAUCCUGGCUCAGGAUGAACGCUGGCGGCGUGCCUAAUACAUGCAAGUCGAACGGGGUGCAGCAAUGUACCAAGUGGCGAUCGGGUGCGUAACACGUAGCUGACCUACCUCUUGGCGGGGGACAACAGGCCGAAAGGCUUGCUAAUACCGCAUGAUUUCGGGGGUUUUAGAACGCCCCGAAGAAACGCGAAAGCGGCCGAGAGAGGGGGCUGCGGCCCAUCAGGUAGUUGGUGAGGUAACGGCUCACCAAGCCGACGACGGGUAGGGGGCCUGAGAGGGUGACCCCCCACACUGGGACUGACAGACGGCCCAGACUCCUACGGGAGGCAGCAGUAAGGGAUACUGGGCAAUGGGCGAAAGCCUGACCCAGCAACGCCGCGUGGAGGAUGACGGCCUUCGGGUUGUAAACUCCUUUUGUCGGGGACGAGACAAGGACGGUACCCGGCGAAUAAGUCACGGCUAACUACGUGCCAGCAGCCGCGGUAAAACGUAGGUGGCGAGCGUUAUCCGGAUUUACUGGGCGUAAAGCGUGUGCAGGCGGACGGGCAAGUGGUGUAUGAAAGCUCCAGGCUUAACCUGGAGAGGCUAUGCCAGACUGCACGUCUUGAGGCAGAGAGAGGGACAUGGAAUUCCGGGUGUAGUGGUGAAAUGCGUAGAGAUCCGGAGGAACUCCAGAGGCGAAGGCGGUGUCCUGGCUCUGACCUGACGCUCAGACACGAAAGCAUGGGGAGCGAACGGGAUUAGAAACCCCGGUAGUCCAUGCCGUAAACGAUGCAGACUAGGCGUCGGCGGUCUCAACCCCGUCGGUGCCGAAGCUAACGCGAUAAGUCUGCCGCCUGGGGACUACGACCGCAAGGUUAAAACUCAAAGGAAUUGACGGGGGCCCGCACAAGCAGCGGAGCGUGUGGUUUAAUUCGAGCCUACACGAAGAACCUUACCUGGGCUUGACAUACUGGUGGUAGGGAAGUGAAAGCGGACCGACCUUCGGGAGCCAGUACAGGUGCUGCAUGGCUGUCGUCAGCUCGUGCCGUGAGGUGUUAGGUUAAGUCCUGUAACGAGCGCAACCCUCGGGGCCAGUUACACGGUGUCUGGUCCGACUGCCCGCGAUAAGCCGGGAGGAAGGUGGGGAUGACGUCAAGUCAGCAUGGCCUUUAUGCCCAGGGCUGCACACACGCUACAAUGGCCGGUACAAUGGGUCGCCAAGCCGCAAGGCGGAGCCAAUCCAGUGAAAGCCGGUCUCAGUUCGGAUUGUGGGCUGCAACCCGCCCACAUGAAGUCGGAGUUGCUAGUAACCGCCGGUCAGCUAUACGGCGGUGAAUACGUUCCCGGGCCUUGUACACACCGCCCGUCACGUCAUGGGAGCUGGUCACGCCUGAAGCCAGCGGGCUAACCGCAAGGAGGCAGCUGUUUAGGGCAGGGCCGGUGACUGGGACGAAGUCGUAACAAGGUA
rnacentral:rRNA from 1 species